CCACCCUCAGGCCCCGCCUGGCGUUGGGGACCUGCGCGCGCGCAGCCCCCGAAAGACAGCGGCGGUCCCGGUCCCAGGCCCCGAGCGUAGUACCUUGCGCCGCUCCGGGCGCCUGGCGGGCGCCGGCCGUGACCCCCCACUCAGAA
rnacentral:misc_RNA from 1 species